rnacentral:rRNA from 1 species
GGCGGCAGGCCUAACACAUGCAAGUCGAACGCCCCGCAAGGGGAGUGGCAGACGGGUGAGUAACACGUGGGAACAUACCCUUCGGUUCGGAAUAACUCAGGGAAACUUGAGCUAAUACCGGAUACGUCCUGGCGGAGAAAGAUUCAUCGCCGGAGGAUUGGCCCGCGUCCGAUUAGCUAGUUGGCGGGGUAAUGGCCCACCAAGGCGACGAUCGGUAGCUGGUCUGAGAGGAUGAUCAGCCACAUUGGGACUGAGACACGGCCCAAACUCCUACGGGAGGCAGCAGUGGGGAAUAUUGGACAAUGGGCGCAAGCCUGAUCCAGCCAUGCCGCGUGAGUGAUGAAGGCCUUAGGGUUGUAAAGCUCUUUCGUCA